GAGUUUGAUCCUGGCUCAGAGCGAACGCUGGCGGCAGGCCUAACACAUGCAAGUCGAGCGGCCGUAGCAAUACGGCAGCGGCAGACGGGAGAGUAACACGUGGGAACGCGCCCUUCGGUCCGGGAUAACCCAGGGAAACUUGGGCUAAUACCGGAUACGCCCUUACGGGGAAAGAUUUAUUGCCGAAGGAACGGCCCGUGUCCGAUUAGCUAGUUGGUGAGGUAACGGCUCACCAAGGCGACGAUCGGUAGCUGGUCUGAGAGGAUGACCAGCCUCACUGGGACUGAGACACGGCCCAGACUCCUACGGGAGGCAGCAGUUGGGAAUCUUGGACAAUGGGGGAAACCCUGAUCCAGCCAUGCCGCGUGAGUGAUGAAGGCCUUCGGGUUGUAAAACUCUUUCGACGGGGACGAUAAUGACGGUACCCGUAGAAGAAGCUCCGGCUAACUUCGUGCCAGCAGCCGCGGUAAUACGAAGGGGGCUAGCGUUGUUCGGAAUUACUGGGCGUAAAGCGCGCGCAGGCGGUUUUUCAAGUCAGUGGUGAAAGCCCGGAGCUCAACUCCGGAACUGCCAUUGAAACUGUGAAACUUGAGGAUGAGAGAGGUGAGUGGAAUUCCCAGUGUAGAGGUGAAAUUCGUAGAUAUUGGGAAGAACACCGGUGGCGAAGGCGGCUCACUGGCUCAUUUCUGACGCUCAGGCGCGACAGCGUGGGGAUCAAACAGGAUUAGAGACCCCUGUAGUCCCAGCCGUAAACGAUCCUCGCUAGAUUCUCGUUGUCGAUUUAUCGAUGGUGAGUGUCGAAGCUAACGCGUUAAGCGAGGCGCCUGGGGAGUACGAGCGCAAGCUUAAAACUCAAAGGAAUUGACGGGGACUUGCACAAGCAGUGGAGCGUGUGGUUUAAUUCGACACAAAACGAAAAACCUCACCAGGGUUUGACAUGUAGCUGCAAGCGCACGGAAACGUGUGAUCUUCGAGAGUGCUACACAGAUGCUGCAUGGCUGUCGUCAGCUCGUGGCGUGAGCUGUUUCCUUAAGUGGAUCAACGAGCGCAACCCGCACCGUAUGUUAAAUAAUCCAUGCGGAACUGCCCCGAUUUUUCGGGGAGGAAGGCGCGGAUGAUGUCAAGUCAGCACGGCUCUUACACCCUGGGCUACACACACACUACAAUGGCGAAUAACAACGAGCUGCAAACUGGUAACAGUAAGCUAAUCUCUAAAAUUUCGCCUCAGUUCAGAUUGAGGGCUGCAAUUCGCCCUCAUGAAGUCGGAAUUGCUAGUAAUCGCGGAUCAGCAAGCCGCGGUGAAUACGUUCCCGGGCCUUGCACACAC
rnacentral:rRNA from 1 species